rnacentral:rRNA from 1 species
UACAGAGGGGGCAAGCGUUGUUCGGAAUUACUGGGCGUAAAGGGCGCGUAGGCGGCCCGCUAAGUCGAACGUGAAAUCCCCGGGCUCAACCCGGGAACUGCGUCCGAUACUGGCGGGCUUGAAUCCGGGAGAGGGAUGCGGAAUUUCAGGUGUAGCGGUGAAAUGCGUAGAUAUCUGGAGGAACACCGGUGGCGAAGGCGGCAUCCUGGACCGGUAUUGACGCUGAGGCGCGAAAGCCAGGGGAGCAAACGGG